rnacentral:rRNA from 1 species
UACAGAGGUCUCAAGCGUUGUUCGGAAUUAUUGGGCGUAAAGGGCGCGUAGGCGGCGCCACAAGUCACUUGUGAAAUCUCUGGGCUCAACCCAGAGGCUGCUUCCAAAACUGCCAUGCUUGAGUGUGGGAGAGGCGCGUGGAAUUGCAGGUGUAGCGGUGAAAUGCGUAGAUAUCUGCAGGAACACCCGUGGCGAAAGCGGCGCGCUGGACCACAACUGACGCUGAGGAACGAAAGCUAGGGGAGCAAACAGG